GAUGAACGCUGGCGGCGUGCCUAAUACAUGCAAGUCGAGCGAAUGGAUUAAGAGCUUGCUCCUAUGAAGUUAGCGGCGGACGGGUGAGUAACACGUGGGUAACCUGCCCAUAAGACUGGGAUAACUCCGGGAAACCGGGGCUAAUACCGGAUAACAUUUUGAACCGCAUGGUUCGAAAUUGAAAGGCGGCUUCGGCUGUCACUUAUGGAUGGACCCGCGUCGCAUUAGCUAGUUGGUGAGGUAACGGCUCACCAAGGCAACGAUGCGUAGCCGCCCUGAGAGGGUGAUGGGCCACCCUGGGACUGAGACACGGCCCAGACUCCUACGGGAGGCAGCAGUAGGGAAUCUUCCGCAAUGGACGAAAGUCUGACGGAGCAACGCCGCGUGAGUGAUGAAGGCUUUCGGGUCGUAAAACUCUGUUGUUAGGGAAGAACAAGUGCUAGUUGAAUAAGCUGGCACCUUGACGGUACCUAACCAGAAAGCCACGGCUAACUACGUGCCAGCCGCCGCAGUAA
rnacentral:rRNA from 1 species